rnacentral:rRNA from 1 species
CGCACGAGCGCACCCUUAUCCUUAGCUUGCCAGCACGGUAAUGGUGGGAACUCUCCCCNUNAANGGNGGUUGACAAACCGGAGGAAGGUGGGGACGACCCCUNGUCAUCAUGGCCCUUACGAGAUGGGCUACACACGUGCUACAAUGGCAAGUACAAAGGGUUGCAAACUCGCGAGAGUAAGCGGAUCCCAUAAAGCUUGUCGUAGUCCGGAUUGGAGUCUGCAACUCGACUCCAUGAAGUCGGAAUCGCUAGUAAUCGUGGAUCAGAAUGCCACGGUGAAUACGUUCCCGGGCCUUGUACACACCGCCCGUCACACCAUGGGAGUGGGCUGCAAAAGAAGUGGAUAGCUUAACCUUCGGGAGGGCGUUCACCACUUUGUGGUUCAUGACUGGGGUGAANUCGUAACAAGGUAGCCGUAGGGGAACCUGCGGCUGGAUCACCUCCUU